AACGGCCACCACCAGGAAAAUGAAGGGUUCCUCAUGGCUUCUUUCAACCAUCCCAUCAAUGCAGCUGCCCAUGACUGGCUUCAAGACCCUCCUCCAGUAGAUACAGACAGCUAAAAAGUGAUCAUCUUCUCAAUAACAACUUUCUCAACAAUGGAGAAGAAAGCAAGUAGAUUCUGCUUUGGUAGAACCAUUGCAUCUUGACUUCAUAGAGACCCUGUUGUCAUCGAGCAACGUGUUACUUGAUUUCAGAUUUGAUGUUUUCAUCUCUCUACAAGGCACCACUGACUGUAAAUAGCAUAAUCCUUGUCAUAGUGCCUUGACAGAUGACACUGGAUGCUGUCAGGUGUGGCUAUGUUUUGGCCCUCUUUUCUAUUUGCCCUCACUUGAUUGGUAUUUAUCAUUUUGGUUGUACGAUCUCAUCCUUUUGAAUGCUUUGUAAUACAUAUGAAUGUAAGAUUUGUUAAUAGAGACAGCUUUGAAUAGAAGGUGGAAGCCAGUGAUUAUAUAUUAUAUAGCAAUUCUACUUUGUUACUAGUAAAUAUGGUUAUUUUGGGUAUUGCAUUGUCUUCUGAAUUUUCAUUUUCAAUGAAGGAUUCAAAUAGAUUAAGUACCAACUAUAGUAUAACUACAUACUGUUGUACGUAACAGAAAUUUACCAAUGCUCAGUACUUACAAUAGAUUUUUUUUCAAUUUUGUAUUCUCUUUUACUAUGACAAUAGGAAAUAUUUAUAUAAAUCUUGACUGACUAUUCAACCUACCAGUAUCCUGAAUUGUGAAUAUUACAUCUGGUGAUUAUGAACUUGCCAGCUAACCAGUUUAGUAUUGACAUAGGGGUCAAUAAAAACUAUAUAAUAUAGUAUUUUGGAGCUUAAAGCCAUUUAUGGUUCAUGUGGUCUACUGGAUGAUAUGAUCAAUUUUAAAUUCCUAAGAACAAAGCUAGAUUGUUUACCGAAAAGCUAAUAGUUUUGUACAAGGGAGUAACUGGAGCUCUGUUUUAGACUUAUCAAUUUGCCAGCAAUAUUUGAAUUUUUUGAGGUCUGAUAUUUAAGUAGUAACAUGUUGAAAGGAUUAAGAAAUAUCAUAAACUACCCAUGACUGGAGCAUAAUUAGUAAUUGUCACAGUAGAAAUGCCUUUAUGCUCAAGAAAUGUAUUACUUGAUAAUCACACCCAGUGGUUUUGCCUUGAUGUUGUUGUAGAACUCCUUUGUCAGAAAACAAACACAUUAUUUUGUGCUAAAGUAAACUGAGAUUGGUAGUUUACAAUAGCAACUCAGCCCUUUAGAAUGCUCACUGAGCAGAAUGCUCCUUAGAUGUAGAUACAUUUUAAUUCAUUGCCCUUAAGAUUCUAGUUUGCAGGACACAUGCCUGCCAUUGUGCUCCUUUCCACAGCAAAAAAAAAAAAAAAAAAAAAAAAUGGCAGUCAAAACAAGUGAGUCACUUCUCAGGUGAGUCCUACGGCUUCCUUUUCAUAUUUUUUUCUAAGAAUUAAUUUCAAAGAUGUUUUAAAAAUGACCCUUCUCUAGUUGUUGAAGAACAUGCAUUGCUACUUUAUUGUACAUCUUGAUACUCUAAAAAGAUAUCUCUAGUCUUCCAUGUCAUAUUGUUAUUAAACCAAUGAGAAUUAGAACAACCACCCUCUAGUCACACUUGGAAAAACUUCUAGGGGGUGGUUUAUGUUUUAAAUGUGCUUGCAGGAUUAUUACACCAUGUUUAGGUUAAGUGAACAUUGUCGGCAAAAUUGCUAUAGAAGAUGUUAUAGUACAAGUUGGAUCACAAGGCAGGCAAGCAUUACGUGUUGGAUACUUUAAAAAGAGGAAUGCUUUAGUGAAUACUUUGAAGAGGGGAAACAUCUUUUUCCUGAUUACUCAUUCCUUGUUUUUAGAAUAUGCAGUCCCUUGGGUAUGCAGUAAAAUGUGAGUCAAUAGUAAGGAGUAGGAAGAGGACUUUUAUGAAUAUCUAACCCAUGAAAAGUUGAUUAUGGUCUCCGUGGUUUUUUUCCUCCUAUAAGUAAGUUUGGCAAAAAAAAAAAUGCAAGAGAUGUUUAUCUCUUUAGUGAAACACACACUUGUUUUUAACGAAUCAGUUUGUAUGAGUAAUAUCCAUUUGAGUCUUUCUGAAUAAACCAGAAAGAAUGUCUGACAACAAUGGAAAUUUAUUAUUAAACUGUGUUUCAGUUUCUGCGGACAGUUUUUACAGGGAGUAAUUUUUUAAAAAUCUUAACAAUUGUUUUUAAAUUCAAGAAUAUACAUUUUUAUUCUGAAGUGAAGUUACUGCAAAAUUACAGUUAGGUUAUAAAAAUCACAUUUUUGGAAACUAUUACAAACAUUAGACUGAACAUUCAUUGCAAAAUAUGCAUUUAUUCAUCCUCUUAAUUAUUCCCCACUCCUUUCCAUUCCCCAUCCUAAGAGACAGCGGAAGGAAAGCAGAGAGAUUAUGAGCAUGACGCAAAGGGAUCACACAGCGUUUCUGAUUUGAUUAGAUAUUUUGGGUUCCAGCAGUACUCUCCAUUUUAAGUACAUUCAGUAUCUCUCAAACUGGCAGAAUCUUUCAAAAUGGAAGAAACUUGUUAAGUGAAACCAUUGUACUAUUUUUAGUUAAAAAAUAAAGAUAGUAGUAUGUC